GUUUUCUCAGGGUCUAAGGUUACGCCAGAUAGACAUGAUGGAUGACAGGUCUGUGUCACAGCAGUUGAAAGGAUGAGAAGGCGUACAGGCCAGAUGAUUGGUGGAAGAAGGGAGUUCGUUGUGAUCGACGGAAGUCAUUUUCAACACAAAAGAAAGUAUGGUAGAGGAAGAAUGGCUGGUGGGUGGAAAAGAAAAAAGUGGGUCUUUGGGAUGUUAGGUGUGAGGCAUCAUCAGCAGCAAAGAUCAGGAAAACCCAUUCUACGUCUUCUGGAGAGAAGGUCUCGAAGACAUCAAGUCCCCUUGAUUGCUCGUCAUGUAAGGCCUGGGUCAUCAAUUAUCAGUGACGAAUUACUCCCUGCACUUGGGUACAAUCAUCACACUGUCAACCACAGCAGGUGGUAUGUAGAUCCCCACACUGGUGCCCAUACCCAGCAUAUUGAGAGGAGCAGAUCUGGAGGCUUAGGGGAAAUCGUACUGAGAGUUUGCUUUCUGACCACCUUGCAGUGA
ensembl:lncRNA